AACGCACGAGACCUGCGGACCUGCGGAAGGAUCAUUACAUGGCGGAGGAGGUGGGCACCUAGUAAAAACAAAACCCUAGGUGUGUUGCCUACCACGCUUUCUACCCUUGUCUAUUUGCACCUUUUGUCGUUCCCUCGGUGGGUCUUGAACCUGCCGGCGGCAACUUUCAAAAACCUUUUGUAGUUAGUAUCUAAUUCUUCUGAUCAAAUAUUCAAUCGUUACAACUUUUAACAACGGAUC
rnacentral:misc_RNA from 1 species